ACACCUCAACUCUCAUGGUUUGCCAUGAUGAGCUUGGACUUUGGGGGUCUUGCUGGCCUGUGGUCGGCUCCUCUCAAAUGAAUCAGCUUGCCAGUGUUUGGUGGCAUCGCGGGUGUGAUAACUAUCUACGCUUGUGGUUUUCCGCCAGAUAACCUUCAGUGACAUGGAGGUUUGCUGGAGCUCAUAAACGUCUCUCCCCAGCGAAGACAGCUUUGUGAAC
rnacentral:misc_RNA from 1 species